UUCGGUCUGCGGGGUUCGUCACCGAUUCAUCGAUGAUUGAGCCAACGCCGUUGAUUAGGGAGACCGACGCCGCUCGCCAGUGCAGUCCUUCAGAGUAAGGAAUGCCGGAGGCCGCGGCUCUUCAAAGGUCACCCACCUGUCUAGUGCAGGUUCAAUUACGGCUUCGGAGCGGCCCAAGCGGAUUCCCC
rnacentral:other from 1 species